UACGUAGGGGGCAAGCGUUGUCCGGAUUUAUUGGGCGUAAAGAGCGUGUAGGCGGCCUGAUAGGUCGGUUGUGAAAACUGGAGGCUUAACCUUCAGACGUCGGCCGAAACCAUCUGGCUAGAGUCCGGAAGAGGAGAGUGGAAUUCCUGGUGUAGCGGUGAAAUGCGCAGAUAUCGGGAAGAACACCCGUGGCGAAGGCGGCUCUCUGGGACGGUACUGACGCUGAGACGCGAAAGCGUGGGGAGCGAACAGG
rnacentral:rRNA from 1 species